GGGUUCGUAGCUCAGUUGGUUAGAGCGUCACGUUGACAUCGUGGAGGCCACAGGUUCGACUCCUGUCGAACCCA
rnacentral:tRNA from 1 species